GAUCCUGGCUCAGGAUGAACGCUAGCUACAGGCUUAACACAUGCAAGUCGAGGGGCAUCAGUUUGGUUUGCUUGCAAACCAAAGCUGGCGACCGGCGCACGGGUGAGUAACACGUAUCCAACCUGCCUCAUACUCGGGGAUAGCCUUUCGAAAGAAAGAUUAAUAUCCGAUAGCAUAUAUUUCCCGCAUGGGUUUUAUUAUUAAAGAAAUUACGGUAUGAGAUGGGGAGUGCGUUCCAUUAGUUUGUUUGGGGGGGG
rnacentral:rRNA from 1 species